rnacentral:rRNA from 1 species
GAUGAACGCUAGCUACAGGCUUAACACAUGCAAGUCGAGGGGCAGCAUGGUCUUAGCUUGCUAAGGCUGAUGGCGACCGGCGCACGGGUGAGUAACACGUAUCCAACCUGCCGUCUACACUUGGCCAGCCUUCUGAAAGGAAGAUUAAUCCAGGAUGGGAUCAUGAUCUCACAUGUCCGCAUGAUUAAAGGUAUUUUCCGGUAGACGAUGGGGAUGCGUUACAUUAGAUAGUAGGCGGGGUAACGGCCCACCUAGUCAACGAUGGAUAGGGGUUCUGAGAGGAAGGUCCCCCACAUUGGAACUGAGACACGUUCCAAACUCGUACGGGAGGCAGCAGUGAGGAAUAUUGGGCAAUGGGCGAUGGCCUGAACCAGCCAAGUAGCGUGAAGGAUGACUGCCCUAUGGGUUGUAAACUUCUUUUAUAAAGGAAUAAAGUCGGGUAUGCAUACCCGUUUGCAUGUACUUUAUGAAUAAGGAUCGGCUAACUCCGUGCCAGCCGCCGCCGAAA